UAACCUUUUCCUUAACAAAUGCCACAUGUCUUGGCACUGUCUAGUUGACAUACAAUUACUGUCUUAAACACAUUUAUUUUUCAUGUUUAUUCCCCUAAAAGAUAUCAAUGGAACUUCCAGUUAUUUCCUCAAAAGGAAAUUCAGUUGGAUGAGCACCACAGUUCCUUUAGUUUUCAUUUAACAGAUGCAAUUAAAUCAGCAUUACACACCCGCAACUAAUAAAGAUGAUGGGCAGAGACCUUUCUGAAGCAUCUGAAUAGUGGUAGCUAUUGCAGCAAAAUAUUUUGUUCCAAUAAGGGCCUCUUUCCUUAUUGUGAUGAAAUAUUUCUUUUCGUUACACAUGUCUUUAUUGUCCAUGUUUCUUUGUAUAAUUAAAUCCAUCCCCCCCUUGAAAAAUCCUCAAUUAAAACACUGGUGUCAACUUGAGAAAAAUCUUAAAGUCCAGUCUGCUUUUGAACUUCAAAUGUGCUUAAUCAUUGAGUGUAUUGUUGCCAGAAUUUUAUACAAGAUAAUUUUGGAAGUAUUGUUUUGCACCCCAAGAAUGGACAAAAAAAUAUGCUUUAUUUCCUAUUAAAUUCAGGAUUUGAUUUACCAAUUCAUAGUAAAGUGAUAUUUGUUGGAUAUGUGCCUAAUUACAGAUGACUUGGUGUACACUUCACCUUGCAUAGGUUUUCAUUCUUGCCUCACGGUUGUGCGCAUCAUUUUUUGUCUAGAUGAGGACAAACUGUAGCAAAAACAGUCAUUUGAAUUCAUUCGAGAAGCGAUCUGAGCUACCGUGUUGCAAUUAGCGGAACAGGAUACAAUAUCUACCAAUAAGUGUAUUUAAAAUCAACCAGUUAACUAGUAAGUAAUCUUUCAAAUUGGAUUGACGAAGUCUUUCCUAGCACCCGUCCUCAAGAUUCCUGCGAGGCGAAAUUCAGCACACGAUAGUGAAGAGUUGGACAACAAAUAGUUGGAAAUGGCGACCGAAAAUUUCACGAUUCUUUCAUUUUUCUCACAUGUUAUGCAGGAAAAGGUUGAAACAGUUGCGGAUGAAGAGGAAAUUGCCGGAAAACCGGCCUAUUCCAAUGAUAAUGCAUCUGGGCCGAGUCUGCGAAGAGAAAAACCCCUUGUCUUAACUAGAAAAGGCAAAAGGGAGACAUUGUUCCUCUGCUACUUCUGGGGCCCACCGUCGCCGAAAGAAAAUCACCUCGUCUCGGUGAUGGCAGGAAAAUGAACUAUUGUGGGUCUGGAUCUUGAUGUCAAGGAAUGUUGGAUGUAUUCCCCAGUGAGCGUAGAUCAAUUUCGAGGAUACGUAGCAAAGGGCUUCAUGUAAGUAUGAAGCCCCAAAUCACAAAGUCAUAGUUACGAUUCCAGGUGUUCGCCAUUGUAGUAAUUGGCAUGAACUUGUAACACCUUCACUGCUGAAUCUUAUCAUUGGUAAGUUUUUCAACAUUAUUUGAAUUUUGCAGAAAUAUUACUGAGAAGGAAUCCUACUUAAUCAUACAAGUAUUUCUGUCCAGUGAGUCUCGGAAGAUUAUCGCGCACGCAAAGAGAAAUAGACAAAUUUAAUUAAUUUUUCUAACAUAUUUUAUCAAACCAUUUGCCUGAGACAGUUGUAGGUCAUCCACUAUUGAAACUGAACUGGUAGAAACUUGGGGAGUGGUGCAGGAGCAAUACCACACGUUGAAGAACAACAGCACACAGCCAGCCCAUGCACAAUACCGCACGUUUAAUGUAUACGCAUACUAUUUCUCGUGCUUUUGUGCUAUUUUGCCAAUUGAUUCUCUGGUGUCAUCUGCCGAUUGACUUUGUCUAUUUAUCCGCUUUGCGCUUUUACUUAACACCAUAGAAAUAGAAUUAACAAAUUCACGUAAAUGCACUUCUCCCAUUAAAAAACUCCAAGCAAUUCUUUUAAAAACUUUAUUUGUGGUUAUAAAUUGCAACACAAGAUGGCGCUGCUUUUUCUCAGUAUUUGACUGUUUGUGUCGAAUCUGUGUGCGAAUGUUUGUUAACUGUGUUAAAAUUCGAUAUAAACUGAUUGUGUCAUCUACUUUUGAGUGUUUUCAAUCUUUUAUGUGAUAUUCAAGUGAAGAACAUCAAAUGGAUAAUUGGUGUGCAAUGGCUAAAUUUUUGAACAGCUAUGCCAGCUGCUGAAUUGUGAAAAACUGUUUGCAACCAACUACUUUUGCAUUCAAUCAAGUUAUUCUAACACUAAUUGAGAGCUUGUGAAACCUAUAAAUGGUAAAGGAUGUCGCCUAAGGAGAAAGGUUACGAAUAACACAAAUCCUAUGGUUUAAAUACCAUCAUCUCAUUCUGACGUCCUUAAUCCAUUCAACAAUUCAUCUCAGCUGUUAUUUGACAAGUGCACUGUAUUUUUUGUCAGCAAUCAUUAACCAUCACCAUUUCAGCAACCUUCUUCUCACUUCUAGUGAGCCUCUCAAGUGACCAGAUUUUGUGUUGAGCUCGUGGAACUAAAAGUGCAAAGGGUGCUGGCCCUGAUGGAUUUGACAAGUGCACCGUAUGCUGUGUUUGCAACCAUUAACUACCACCAUUUCAGCAAUCAUCUCAUCAUUUCUACUGAACCUUUUGUGUGAAAGGAUUUUGUGUUCAGAGUUCGUGGAACUUAAAAUGCAAAGGAUACUGGCCCUGAAGGAAAGUCAUCAACGAUGCAAAAUUUGUGGAUUGGAAUAUCUCAUGUAUAGGUUCUUUUAGCCACUCAUCAUUUCAUUUUGCCAACCAACACACGUCUUUGGCUCGCCCGUCACCCCAUCUUCAGCUCGCCCGUCGCCCCGUCUUCGCCUCGCCCGUCGCCCCGUCUUCGCCUCGCCCGUCGCCCCGUCUUCGCCUCGCCCGUCACCCCGUCUUUGGCUCGCCCGUCGCCCCGUCUUCGCCUCGCCCGUCGCCCCGUCUUCGCCUCGCCCGUCGCCCCGUCUUCGCCUCGUCAUCGCCCCGUCUUUGUUGGUAUCGUUGUAUUUAGUAAUGUGUUUGUGCUAAUUAACCCGUUGGCUGCCACCCACUUUGAUCCCCUUUUUUUUUUAGCUUGUUAGGGUCCGGCAGCGCUGUUCUACCCAAUGGUCUAUAUGCCAUGGGUGGGACAGUUGCACAAGCCGUGUGGCUCAAAGUCGAUCGUCGAGGCAAUGCACCAUUAGGAACUCCCCCCUUGUCGAUGCGGUGAUGGUUGCCUGGGGUGUGCAUUCCCGUAACGGCUUCCAUCAUCGUGUCAGCCCGGACUUGUCUUCGGACAAGUCCCCCUUGGUCGUGAUCCCUCUGAUGGCGAUGUAGAUAGCGUAGUUGUAGUGGCGUGGCAGCCAACGGGUUAGUUAAGUGUAUUUGUGUAUGUAUUGUAUAUGUGUUGUAUUGUAUUGUGAAAUGUAAAACGUAGUGGUGGAAU